ACGUAGGGCGCAAGCGUUGUCCGGAAUUAUUGGGCGUAAAGAGCUCGUAGGCGGUCAGUCGCGUCUGCUGUGAAAACUCGAGGCUCAACCUCGGGCUUGCAGUGGGUACGGGCUGACUAGAGUGCGGUAGGGGUGACUGGAAUUCCUGGUGUAGCGGUGGAAUGCGCAGAUAUCAGGAGGAACACCGAUGGCGAAGGCAGGUCACUGGGCCGCAACUGAUGCUGAGGAGCGAAAGCAUGGGGAGCGAACAGGA
rnacentral:rRNA from 1 species